GAUGAACGCUGGCGGCGUGCCUAAUACAUGCAAGUCGAGCGAACAGAUGAGGAGCUUGCUCCUCUGACGUUAGCGGCGGACGGGUGAGUAACACGUGGAUAACCUACCUAUAAGACUGGGAUAACUUCGGGAAACCGGAGCUAAUACCGGAUAAUAUAUUGAACCGCAUGGUUCAAUAGUGAAAGACGGUUUUGCUGUCACUUAUAGAUGGAUCCGCGCCGCAUUAGCUAGUUGGUAAGGUAACGGCUUACCAAGGCAACGAUGCGUAGCCGACCUGAGAGGGUGAUCGGCCACACUGGAACUGAGACACGGUCCAGACUCCUACGGGAGGCAGCAGUAGGGAAUCUUCCGCAAUGGGCGAAAGCUUGACGGAGCAACGCCGCGGGAGUGAUGAAGGUCUUCGGAUCGUAAACCCCUGUUAUUAGGAAGAACAAAUGUGUAAGUAACUAUGCACGUCUUGACGGUACCUAAUCAGAAAGCCACGGCUAACUACGUG
rnacentral:rRNA from 1 species